rnacentral:tRNA from 1 species
CCAGUGUGAGCACUGCUGCCUUCCAAGCAGUUGACCUGGGUUCAAUUCCCAGACAAUGCA